GAAAUGCGAUAAGUAGUGUGAAUUGCAGAAUUCAGUGAAUCAUCGAAUCUUUGAACGCACAUUGCGCCCCUUGGUAUUCCAUGGGGCAUGCCUGUUCGAGCGUCAUUUGUACCCUCAAGCUCUGCUUGGUGUUGGGUGUUUGUCCCCGUCUCCGCGCGUGGACUCGCCCCAAAGUGAUUGGCAGCCGGCGUACUGGUCCCGGAGCGCAGCUCAUGUCGCGCAAACGAGUGCCUUGGUACGGCGGCGUCCAUAAGCCCCUCUCUCACGCUCUUGACCUCGGAUCAGGUAGGGAUACCCGCUGAACUUAAGC
rnacentral:misc_RNA from 1 species